AAAAAGGAAAACCUGGUUUCCGUGUCCAACGUUUGACCGUCCGUCUUAUUUAAAAAAAUUAUGAAAAAAAUUAAAAAGACAAGUCAAGAAUCAUGUUUUAUCAUCUAACAACAAUGAAAAUACGAAUUAUAAAAAACUUUUAUAUAAGACAGACGGUCAAAGUUGAACACAGAAACUCAGAGUUUGCCUUUUU
rfam:Oryza nivara chromosome 7, whole genome shotgun sequence.